AACGAACGCUGGCGGCGCGUUUUAAGCAUGCAAGUCGAACGGCAACUUGGGUAGCAAUACCUGAGUGAGAGUGGCGAACGGGUGAGUAAGACGUAGGUGAUCUACCCCUGGAUGGGGGAUAGUCCGUGGAAACACGGGGUAAUACCGCAUGAGGCCUUGGGGGUAAAGUCCUGAGGUGAAAGCUCCAAUUGGAGCGUCUGGGGAUGAGCCUGCGGCCCAUUAGGCAGUUGGCGGGGUAAUGGCCCACCAAACCGACGAUGGGUAGCCGGCCUGAGAGGGUGUACGGCCACACUGGAACUGAGACACGGUCCAGACACCUACGGGAGGCAG
rnacentral:rRNA from 1 species